AUUUACACUGUACCCGAACCUAUUUUAAAAAAAAGGUGGUGGUUUAACUCCGACCACCGCUUUUAGCGGAGAAAUCGUUCAAUCUCAACGUUCAUUAAGGUGGCCGGAUUUUUGGUCGCAAUUUGUCGCCGGAUUGCGUUUAUAAGAUAUGGCCAACUCGAGUUCGGGAUCUGAUUCAGACCCAGAGGCAGAGUGUCCAACAAUAAUACCUACAAGAGGGCCUACUCAAAUGAAUGAAAUAUCCAAGCUAAUGGAUCAAGGCAAAAGAGUGGCCCUCGAGGUUAAUGACAAAGGACAAUACUGUGGGAAAAGCUAUGCUAAGCUCGUAUCCACUCUAGGUGUCAGAUGCCGGCAGACGAUAGGGUUGUCCUAUAAAAACUGGAAAGAAGUCAACCCGACUCUGAAAAAUAAAGUUUGGAACGACAUACAAGUAAGCUGUUAUUUGUUAGAAUUUUGAUUUGUUUUUCUAUUACUUCAAAUGUUGACUCUAACCGUGUUUGUUUUCCUUCAAAAUAGACGGGGUUCAUUGUGCCGGACUCCUUCAAACAUGAUUGUCUCAUCCUAGCUGGGAAGUUAAUGAAAGACUUCAAGAAUAGGAUGACAAAAGACAUCAUAAUGCCCGCUUUGAAAGAGAAGGAUCUGGGACGACUGGCACAAGUCCCUGAAAAGCACCCCGAGAUCGACGCUGCUGAUUGGUGCAAAUUUGUUGAAAGUCGACUAACUCCUGAAUUUCUGGUACGCUAAUUAUAUUAACACUAAGAUAAACUCUUAAAUACAAGUACAUGUAUCUAAUGUAUUUUUUUGGCAUUGUAGGAAUUGAGUAAGGUGCAACG